UACGUAGGGGGGCAAGCGUUGUCCCGGAUUUAUUGGGCGUAAAGAGCUCGUAGGCGGUCUGUCACGUCGGCUGUGAAAACCCGGGGCUCAACCCCGGGCCUGCAGUCGAUACGGGCAGACUAGAGUGCGGUAGGGGAGACUGGAAUUCCUGGUGUAGCGGUGAAAUGCGCAGAUAUCAGGAGGAACACCGGUGGCGAAGGCGGGUCUCUGGGCCGUAACUGACGCUGAGGAGCGAAAGCGUGGGGAGCGAACAGG
rnacentral:rRNA from 1 species